CGCACACAUACGCACCUGCACUCUCUCAAUUACCCUUUCUCUCUCUCUGUAUACACACACACACACACACAUACAUCUCCGUACACUCAUACACAAUUAAAAGCAUCGUUUACUCCUCUCUCUCUCUCUUUCUCCGUAUAUCUCUCAUCUACUCAUUCACUCCAAUUCACACACACACACAUACACGCACGCACACAUUCACACAUACACGCUCGUACUCACACAUAUAUGAACGUAAACGUACGCACACAACUGCGAAUUCUUCCUCCUUCUCUCUCUCUCUCUCUCUCCGCCUCACCCACUCACUUUCUUGUAUACGUAUAUUCUUAGAUACAAUCAUCCGUACACGUACACGACGACAACACCGACACAUGUAGACAGCCAAAGAAGGUGAGAAGAACUCAACGAUAAGGACUGUUUCCUACCAACAAACAACAUGGUUUUAUGUAGCACAUCCAUUCUCAAUAGGAAAACGUCUCGUUCUGACAUUUGCGUCAGUUUUUAAAAGUAAGUACAACGUAGGAACACAAUUCUGCCGAUCGCCUUCAUCUCUUGUCUUCUUACUUGCUCUUCUCUUCAUGUUUUGUUGUGGAAUGGCAAAAACAAAAAUAUGGAAACAGGAAAAAGUACCUUGUUAACAAAUGAUAACGAAGAAGAAAAAGAAAAAGAGAAAGAAAAAAGAAAAACUUAAGAAAACGUGGAGGUGUUGUUAGUAACAAGAAAUAGCGGGAAGAAAGCAACUAAAAAAGACACUCAAGUCACAAACGCACAGAAAAUUAACACAACACGUUAUUAACACCAACAGCAGUGAAUAUCUUCUUUUGUAAUAGGAAAUUUUAAAACAGUAGCAAUAGUAAUGACAAUAGCUUCUUCUAAUGUGGUUUACAAGGACAAAACAUCAGAUUUAUAAGAGGAAACAAGGAAAUGAUGUGUGUCUGACGUUCGAAAUAUCUGAAGAAAAUGUGAAUGAAAGAACAUUGAACAGAUUCAGCGAAUGAAUGAAUGAAAGAACACUGAACGAAGUUAAUUAAAGAACUAAAUGAAUGAAUGAAUGAACACCGAGCGAACUUAAUAUGAGGAAAGGAAUAUGAAACUAAAAUAACUUAGAAAAAUAAAUACGGAAAGGAAACAGAUGAACGGGGAAAUACCCAAGAAUCAAAACAAAAGAGAAGCGUUAGAUUAGAGAGAGAGAGAGAGAGAGAGAGAGAGAGAGAGAGAGAGGGAGAGAUGUGAUAUGUUGAAACCAAAAGCAAAAUAAAAAGAGAAAGAAAAUUAAAAAAAAAACAGCAUUUUGUUAUCGAGGAGACCGAACACAUUUGAAAAUGGAAAAACUAAGGAUAAAAAAUUAGGGUA
rnacentral:lncRNA from 1 species